GUUUACUUCCUGUUUUGCUAUGAAAGGGAAUUAUGUUCUGAUUGUGAUUUUUCUUUUGUUUACCGUCGUAUCAUCUGAACUGUACUCUAGUACUGUAUCAUGGACAGUGACAGUUCAGAUGACCGACUACAAAGGCUACCAAUCAGCGGGCCUUACGUCGGUCUACAUUCCAGCCAAUGCAGCCAGUGCUCUACUGGACAUCAAAAGCUCCGCCUCUGAUCUCAACUGUCCUCAUAAAACAGUCAAUGUAUAUGUGCGACCGGGGGGAUAUCCUGUGGGAACGCCCUACAAUGAGUCGUUUCCUAGAGACUUCCACCUCAGAAGGAAUUUUGAACACCAUGUUGUUUCAGUGACAAAUAACCAGUCAUCACUUUUAGUGCUGCAAGCUCCCCAGUCUGGACCAUGGUUUAUUGCUUCAUUUUUGCCAAAGAAAUCCAGUGAAAAAAUCACACAGAAGGGAGUGGAUAACAAGAAAUGCGGGUACGCACUAGGAGUCCGUGUCAUCACCGCCGUCCAGGAAGACGUACAGGAAGUCCACACCAGGGGGCAGUCCAAUAUCAGGCUGGACGCGAGCGAGGGACUAAAUAAAACCGUAAGAUUCUGGCUUCCGGAUAAUACCUAUGCUUAUACAGCAUUGCUCAGUAACUGCUCUGUGGAGAUGGACAACAAGACAAAAAAUGUUUGCUCUGUACUGGUGGACGCAUCAACUGGUACCCUACCCUCAGUAGACAACUCGACCACAAGCUGUUCAAAUGAAAGUGUGUGUGAGGCUGUGAUUCUCUCCCCUUUAAUCACCAGCUGGAACUACCUUAGGUUUAGAUACAAGGGAAAUGGAUCCAUCACCUUCAAACUAAGCUUUAUUCCCAAAUUUUGUCUACAUAAUAACAUCUUCCAAAUUGUGAGUCCCUCUGACCAGACUAAAAGACAGAGUCCGACAGACAGGAUACAGGAUACAGUGGAGCUGGCCGACAACAGUAGUCUUACUGCUAACACCAGUGCCACACCAGCUGUUGUAAACUCGAGUCUGACUCAUGAUAACGUCUGUAUUCUGAUCUCAAGCCUGGGGCGCUUCCAGGUCUCCAAAGAUCUCUUCAAAGCUUACUUCUUCUUUCCAAACAUCUUCAUGAAUCCAAUACCAGCAAAUGAAAUCCUUGUGUCUGAUGAAUCUGUAUUGAUCACAGAUCUUCACCUGGACUCUGACAAAGACAUAGGUGGAACAUUAAAGCUUACUCUCACAAAUUUACUCCUCAAAAAUAAUCCCUCCCAGGAUUCAUUGGUGUGGGCAUGUCUCGUCAAGGGCUACCUCCCUCACCAGGAGACCAUCAGAGAGUGUUCCCAGGGCCUCCCAGUGACCAUCUUCUCCAAUUCCACUGGCCCGAUCACCCGCUACAUCCCCUACCCCGAGGCAGGGACUUGGUACCUGGCCCUCCACAGCCAGUGUUGGAACAGGACCUCCAAUCAGGUGGAGCCCUGUACCUUGUUGCCGGGGGUGAGCCUGGCCCUCAGCCUCACCGGCUGUGUGGACGGUCAGUGUGGGACGUUUGGUGCCUGUGAGGAGUACAUUAGUGGGUCCCACAUCUUCAGUACCUGUCAGUGUUACGCAGGCUGGGCUGGGUACGGAUGCACCGAUGGUAGUAAUGCGGAGAGUAAUGGGACCAUUUUGAUGGGGACACUCCUUCUGUCUCUCAUUUUACCAUGCCUGUGACUCCAGCAAAGGUCUCUACCAGUACUGUAUGAUGAAGUAUGAAGUUCUCAGCUUCUGUGAUUUCCUGGGCUCGUACCUUUCUUUCUGGGUCACUACCCUUGCCAUGGCUCGUCUCCCAGAGAAGGCCCACGGUUUUCUGGUGACCCUGGGGAUGCUGGGGCUUGCAGUGGGGAUGAUGUAUGACAAACACUCCCUCUAUGCGUUCCUGAUUCCUAUAUGUCUGGGGAUCAUCAUAAUGAUGGCUUCCUGGAUUAUGAAGUGUGUAAGGCGGCGACAAUUGUACCCCUCAAAGCGCCGCUACCUCUUCUUCCUGUUGCCGGGUGUUAUAUGUGCGGCGAUUGGUGUAGUCAUCUUUGCCUUCCUGGAGACAGAGGAGAACUACCAGUAUAUACACAGCGUGUGGCACGCCCUGGUGGCGCUCUCCAUCGUCUUCCUGCUCCCACCGCGACAGAGAGCAGACGAAACAGAAGGUUUUUGUACGCUCUACAAACCAUUGGUGUCCUGUGCCUCCGAUAUCCAUCUCCUGGAAAACAAUUCCGAGGACAGCGACUCUGAGACGAGGGAUUAAUGAAGUGCUUGGUGGGAUCUGUUCCUAGGCACUGCAGCUUUGAUUCACAUGAUAAUAAAAAUUAAUAACCUGUGGACAAUUCUCAUUAUUGUGUCUCUAGCGGAACAUUUUUAGCUGGAGUGUAUGACCCAUGUUAACGAUUCACAGCAGGAAUUCAUUGGUUGUUAUUCAGUCCCACAUCAUUCUCAGAGAAUCUCAAAUGUUUUCACAGCUCAGUUCGUAUUUUAUGCCAUAUCUUGUUUUUUCUUAAAUUCAAAUUAAAGCAGUAUGGUUGUAUGGAAUCAAGUUAUCGUUGCUUUGUUACUGCUUUGAACAUUUUACUAUUAUUUUGUUUCAGUAUUUUAUUAUGUGAUGAUAAUUUUCAUCUACCAGUUUAUAUGUGUAUAAGUAUUAAGAUUUUAUUGCUUUGCUUUCUUUGAUGAAUUUUAAAUAAGUAAUAAAAUUUAUCGUAAAUCAU
rnacentral:misc_RNA from 1 species